rnacentral:rRNA from 1 species
AUUGAACGCUGGCGGCAUGCCUUACACAUGCAAGUCGAACGGCAGCACGGGUGCUUGCCCCUGGUGGCGAGUGGCGAACGGGUGAGUAAUACAUCGGAACAUGUCCUGUAGUGGGGGAUAGCCCGGCGAAAGCCGGAUUAAUACCGCAUACGAUCUACGGGUGAAAGCGGGGGACCUUCGGGCCUCGCGCUAUAGGGUUGGCCGAUGGCUGAUUAGCUAGUUGGUGGGGUAAAGGCCUACCAAGGCGACGAUCAGUAGCUGGUCUGAGAGGACGACCAGCCACACUGGGACUGAGACACGGCCCAGACUCCUACGGGAGGCAGCAGUGGGGAAUUUUGGACAAUGGGCGAAAGCCUGAUCCAGCAAUGCCGCGUGUGUGAAGAAGGCCUUCGGGUUGUAAAGCACUUUUGUCCGGAAAGAAAUACUUGGCCCUAAUACGGUCGGGGGAUGACGGUACCGGAAGAAUAAGCACCGGCUAACUACGUG